GGGAGGCGAGCUCACGGGUUUAAUGUUCUCAGGGCUGGGUUCGGCUCCGACAUGUGAUCCUGGUGACAGGAAGGACGCGGCAAACACGUCGUCCCUCGGGGCUGACUCGACCUUGUGGGAAGAGGCUCGGUUCCCUGGGCCUGAUGGACGCGGCUCUCCAGGCUUGGCUCUUAGGGCACAGUUCUCCAUGCAGGGCUCGCUGGAGGUGGUUCUCCAGACUUGAGUCCCCAGGUACCACUUGCUGGAUGUGUCUCCCUGCCUCGGCGGUGGCUCCAUGGCCAGCCCAGUGCCAGCAGAGGGCCUCCGUUACCAAACAGAGCACAGCGCCGCCGCUUCGGAACCAGAAACCACCUUAUCCAUUUGGCAAAACUUCGUGCAAGGACCAGGAAAGGGGCUGGAGUUUAUUCUCCUGAAGACCAGGGCCAGUGUCCGCCCCCCCCCGCCCCCCCUUGUUUUAAUGCCAGCACUGGAGGUGCAUUAAAGCCGUGGGAGAGGCCAUCAUUAAAAUGGCAAUUGCGCAGCCAGGCAAUAAACUGAGCAUCAUAAAAGGCA